UGGGGAAUUUUUGUCAAUGGGGGAAACCCUGAACAAGCAACGCCGCGUGAAGGACGAAGACCUUCGGGUUGUAAACUUCUGUCGGAGGGGACGAAAGCAGAGUUGGUUAAUACCCAGCAUUGUUGACGGUACCCUACGAGGAAGCCCCGGCUAACUCCGUGCCAGCAGCCGCGGUAAUACGGGGGGGGCAAGCGUUGUUCGGAAUUACUGGGCGUAAAGGGCGCGUAGGCGGGCGGAUAAGUCUCUCGUGAAAAGCCCACGGCUCAACCGUGGUAUUGCGGGAGAUACUAUUCGUCUUGAGUCCGGGAGAGGUGUGUGGAAUUCCCAGUGUAGCGGUGAAAUGCGUAGAUAUUGGGAGGAACACCGGUGGCGAAGGCGACACACUGGACCGGUACUGACGCUGAGGCGCGAAAGCCAGGGGAGCAAACGGGGAUUAGAUACCCCGGUAGUCCUGGCUGUAAACGAUGAGCACUUGGUGUAGCGGGUAUCGACCCCUGCUGUGCCGAAGCUAACGCAUUAAGUGCUCCGCCUGGGGAG
rnacentral:rRNA from 1 species